CCCACCUUCCGGCUGCAGCUUGCGGAGAGGAAGCCCCGGCGAGCCCAGGGCCCCUGCUGCGGCCGAACGAAAGUUGGGGGGCAACAUCUCAGCUGAGUCAGGAGUUACGCCUCGGAGGUCCUUCUCUCGGAACAUCUUCCGCCAGGAUGGGGAGCGGCUGAAGGACUUGGCACUGUCCUAGGGAAAAGAGCUGCUCAGCACCUCCCUCUAGUUAGAGCAAUGAAACAGCCCGUGGAGCCCCCGCAACCCAGCAUAAUGGAAUGACCCGUGCACCACUAACAGUGGAAUAGCCGGGCUUCUACGCCGACCCCCACCAAGCCACAGACAAGAGCAGAGCUCCGCGCAGCGCCCCCUCCCGCGCUGCUCCUGAAGCAUGAUGGCCAGUGUCUGCACAUCAGCCUGCCCACUGGGAGACAGCAACUCAGCUCCAAACAUCCCCUCCGCCUCCUCCUCAUCUGAGCCAUCCAGCUCCCCAGGGAAUGGAGGUGGCAUGGACCCCGCAGGGGCAGACCGCUCCCACUCCUAUCUCUGUGUGGAGACAGAGAGAUGCCAGGUGGACAAGGGCCGAGGUAGGUGCUGGGUCUUCCCUCACCUAUCCUGACCUUGCCCACCCUCUAUAACCCUGCCCAUGUCCCCUGACACUGACUGCCCUCACCAUGUGACCCAGCCCCCCAGCCCAGCUUUCUCUCUUGGUGGGUCCUUCUUCUUGACCACCCAUGACUCUGCCCUCUCCCCUGAUUCCACUGUUUCCUUUGACCCAGCCCACUUCCUUUCUUCACUUGGCCCCAUCCAUUCUAGGAUUCUACACCCUGCAUACCAUCCCCCCAAACCCACCCCUCUUCCCACCCCAUCGUUCCUCUAAAGUUCUCACCAGGCAGCAGGACAUCCACGUGAAGAGCCAUCGAGGCAAGUGGGGAUGACGGAAGAAGAAGAGAAGACAGUGUGGGUCCAGGAGACCUUGCUUGUCAACUCAGUCCCCUCCCAGAGCUCUGCAUGUUGGGCUCCACCUCCUACUGCUGCCCUCCC